rnacentral:lncRNA from 1 species
AGACCCAGCCCCUUCUCCUCCCUUUCUUCCCAGCUUCCCAGCUUCUCUUCUUCUCACAAUUCUCCACCUCGUACAUCAUUUGAUAAACCUCAAAUUUUGGACGAACACAAGAAGAAGAGACAAGCAUCAACUCGGCUGCAUCAUUCAAACCAUGAUUGCCUACGUACCCAAAACUCGGGAUCAAGCCUCCGUAGUUCACCUCCACCUUCUAUACUCUCCACCUCAUUUCAACCUCGCCCCGAAGGGCCA